ensembl:lncRNA
CCGCGCCGCCGGCUUUGGGGCACGGGGGGGAAACGGCCCCCCACCCCAACGCUGGGCUGUGGGCAAUGCAGCCCGUCCCAUCCCCAUCCCAUCCCCAUCCCAUCCCCAUCCCAUCCCCGUCCCCCUCCAUCCCAAUGGGGUCCUCCUUGCUGGGCUGGGGGCUCAGGGGGGUUGUUUGGGGUCGGAGUGGAGAAAGGGGGUUCCCAACUCCUGCACUGGGCUAUGGCCAACGUGGUCCCAUCCCAUCCCUGUCCCAUCCCCAUCCCCAUUCCAUUCCAUCCCCAUCCCAUCCCUGUCCCAUCCCAUCCCCAUCCCCAUCCAUCCCAAUGGGGUCCUCCUUCUGGGCUGGGGGCUCAGCGUGGGUUGUUUGGGGUCGGAAUGGAGAAAGAGGGUUCCCAACUCCUGCACUGGGCUAUGGCCAAUGUGGUCCCAUUCCCAUCCCAUCCCAUCCCCGUCCCCAUCCCAUUCCAUUCCAUCCCCAUCCCAUCCCUGUCCCAUCCCCGUCCCCAUCCCAUCCCCGUCCCCCUCCAUCCCAAUGGGGUCCUCCUUGCUGGGCUGGGGGCUCAGGGGGGGUUGUUUGGGGUCGGAGUGGAGAAAGGGGGUUCCCAACUCCUGCACUGGGCUAUGGCCAAUGUGGUCCCAUCCCAUCCCUGUCCCAUCCCCAUCCCAUCCCCGUCCCCAUUCCAUUCCAUCCCCAUCCCUUUCCCUCCCCAUCCCAUCCCCGUCCCCCUCCAUCCCAAUGGGGUCCUCCUUGCUGGGCUGGGGGCUCAGGGCUUUGGUUGGGGUCAGGGGUCCCAACUCCAGCAUUGGGUCAUGGCCAACGCGGUCUCAUCCCCAUCCCAUCCCCAUCCCAUCCCAAUGGGGUCCUCCUUCUGGGCUGGGGGCUCAGCGUGGGUUGUUUGGGGUCGGAAUGGAGAAAGAGGGUUCCCAACUCCUGCACUGGGCUAUGGCCAAUGUGAUCCCAUUCCCAUCCCAUCCCAUCCCCAUUCCAUUCCAUCCCCAUCCCAUCCCUGUCCCAUCCCAUCCCUGUCCCCAUCCAUUCCAAUGGGGUCCUCCUUCUGGGCUGGGGGCUCAGGGGGGGUUUGUUUGGGGUCAGAGUGGAGAAAGGGGGUUCCCAACUCCUGCACUGGGCUAUGGCCAACGUGGUCCCAUCCCAUCCCAUCCCAUCCCAUCCCAUCCCAUCCCAUCCCAUUUCCAUCCCCCCUCGGUCCCAAUGGGCUCUGAUCUCUGUCCCCCCGGGGGAUGAGAUGAGAUGGUGGGGAUGGAGGGAUGGAAUCACAGAAACACUGAGGUUGGAAAAGACCACUGAGACCUCCGAGUCCAACUGAGCAAUGGGUGGAUGGGGGGGGGGGGGGAUGAGGGACAGAUGGGUGGAGGGUGGGGGGGAUUGGGGUGAGGGAGGGGGUGGAUGGACUGGGAUGAUGGAGGGAAGGACGGGGAUGGAUGGAGGAGGGAGAGGGAUGGAUGGAGUGGGUUGAGAUGGAGGAAUGGGGAUGGAUGGAUUAGGAAUAUGAAGGGAUGGAUGGAUGGGGAAUGAGGAUGAGGGAUGGAUGGAGUGGGAUGAGGGAUGGAGGGAUUGGGAUGCAGGGAAGGAUAGGGAUGGAUGGAGGAUGGAGAGAAGGAUGAGGAAUGGGUGGAUUGGGAUACAGGGAUGGGGACGGAUGGAUUGGGAUGGGGAUGAGGGAUGGAUGGGGAUGGAGGGGUUGGGAUGAGAGAUGGGGAUGGGUGGACUGGGAUGAGAUGGAGGACGGAUGGAUUGGGAUAAGGGAUGGGGAUGGAUGGAGGAUGAAGUGGGAUGGGGAGGGAUGGAAUAGGAAUAUGGAGGGGUGGAUGGAUGGAUGGAUGGGGAAUGAGGAGGAGGGAUGGAUGGAUGGAUUGGGAUGAGAUGGAGGAUGGACGGACUGGGCUGAUGGAGGGAAGGACAGGGAUGGAUGGAGGAUGGAUGGAUUGGGAUAAGAGAUGGAUGGAUUGGGAUGAGGGAUGGGGAUGGAGGGAUGGGGAUGGAUGGAUUGGGAUGGGGAUGGAGGGAUGGGGAUGAGGGAUGGAUGGGGAUGGAGGGAUUGGGAUGGGGAUGAGGACGGAGGAAUUGGGAUGGGGCUGAAGGAUGGAUGGGGAUGGAUGAAUUAGGAAUAUGGAGGGAUGGAUGGAUGGAUUGGGAUGAGAUGGAGGAUGGACGGACUGGGCUGAUGGAGGGAAGGACAGGGAUGGAUGGAGGAUGGAUGGAUUGGGAGGAGGAUGAGAGAUGGGUGGAUUGGGAUGGGGAUGGAUGGGGAUGGAGGGAUUGGGAUGGAGGGAUGGGGAUGGAUGGAUUGGGAUAGGGAUGAGGGAUGGAUGGGGAUGGAGGGGUUGGGUUGAUGGAUGCUGGGAUGGGGAUGAGGAUGGAGAGAUUGGGAUGGGGACGGAUGGAUUGGGAUGGGGAUGAGGGAUGGAUGGGGAUGGAUGGAUUGGGAUGGGGAAUGGAUGGGGACGGAUGGAUUGGGAUGGGGAAUGAAUGGGGACGGAUGGAUUGGGAUGGAUGGAUUGGGAUGGGGAAUGGAUGGGGACGGAUGGAUUGGGAUGGAGGGAUGGGGACGGAUGGAUUGGGACGGAUGGAUUGGGAUGGAGGGAUGGGGACGGAUGGAUUGGGACGGAUGGACGGGGAAUAUGGAGGGAUGGAUGGAUGGGAAAUGAGGAAGAGAGACGAUGGAUGGAUGGACGGCUGGGGAUGCAGGGACGGGAGCAGGACGGAGGCCCGGGCAAUGCGGAGGGGGCAGCCCAACACCCCCACACUGCACCCCAUCUGCGCCCCCCCACAGCCCCCCCGAAGCCCAGCGACUGCAGCACGGUGAGGGCGGGGGGUUUUCUUUCUUUUUUUUCUUUUUUUUAACUUUUUUUUAACUUUUUUUCCUCCUUUUUCUCCUCUCUCCUUCAGGACGGCUCCACCAAACCCAUCCCCCCCUCCCCAAAGAAAACCCUAUUCAAUAAUUCCUGCCAAUAAAUAACGUUUUCACCUCCGGGUUUUUGGGGGGUUUUUCUUCCCUUUCAACAGAGCUAAAAAAAAAAACCAAUAAAAUAAUAAAAUAAAAUAAAAUAAAAAGCCAGAAAUCCAAUCAAAUCCGAUCCGACCCAAAGGAGGCAGCGCCGGGGCUAUGGGGGGGGGGGGGGGGGCUGCUCUGCACUGAGACCCCCCCCCAGCGCUGCCCCCCCUCCCCAUCGCAUGCAUCUCUGCCAUCACAUGCAAACACCCAAUUGGGGGGCAGCCCCCCGCGCUCCCCUGGGGGUUGGGGUGAGGUGGGGGGGGGAUAUGGGGCUGGGGGGAGGGGGGGCAGAGCUUCCCCAUGGGCUCCUCCACACACGGACCCCCAUUCGGCCCCACAACUGUGCUGGCGGCAAUGGGGGAGGGGCCCAAAAAGCAAAGGAGGCCAAAAAGGUGAAUGUGGGGUGGGGGGGGUAUGAAGGGAAGGACCCCAAAAACAUGGAGUGUGGGGGGGGUCCAAAGGGAAGGACCCCAAAAAGAUGGAGUGGGGGGGAUCCAAAGGGAAGGACCCCAAAAAGAUGGAGUGGGGGGGGUCCAAAGGGAAGGACCCCAAAAAGAUGCAUUUGGGAUGGCGGAUCCAAAGGGAAAGACCCUCAAAAGUGAAGGAUCCCAGAAAGACCUCUGCAGAGUGGGGGAUCCAAAGUGAGGGACCCCAAAAGGAUGAAGAGGUGGAUCCAAAGGAAGGACCCCAAAAGAAUGCAGAUGGGAUGGGGGGAUCCAAGGUGAAGGACCCCAAAAAGUGAAAGACCCCAAAAAGAUGUAUGUGGAGUGGGAGAUGGAAAGUGAAGGACCUCACAAGGAUGCAGAUGGGAUGGGGAUCCAAAGGACCCCAAAGAAUGAAGGUACCCAAAAAGAUGGAGAUGGGAUUUGGGGGGGGAUCCAAAUAGAAGGACCCCCAAAAAGAUGUGUGGAGUGGGGGAUCCAAAGUGAGGGACCCCAAAAGGAUGCAGAUGAAGAGGUGGAUCCAAAGGGAAGGACCCCAAAAAGUGAAGGACCCCAAAAGAAUACAGAUGGGAUGGGAGGAUCCAAAGUGAAGGACCCCAAAGAGAUGGAGGUGGGGGGGGGGGGGUAUCCAAAGAGAAGGACCCAAAGAAAUGAAGUACCCCAAAGGAAUACAGACGGAUGGGGGCAUGCAAAGUGCGGGACCUCAAAAGGAUGCAGAUGGGAUGGGGACCCAAAGGACCCCAAAGAAUGAAGGUACCCAAAAACAUGGAGAUGGGAUGGGGGUGGGGGGUCUAAAAUGAAGGACCCCCAUUAGGAUGUAUUUGGGGUGGGGGACCCAAAGGGAAGGACCCCAAAGAGAUGGAGGUGCGAUGGGGGGAUCCAAAAGGAGCCCAGGAAGAUGUGCAGAUGGAGUGGGGGGGUCCAAAGGGAAGGACCCCAUUGGGACGUGGGGGGGUCGGGGGAUGGGAAGCGCUGCCUCCAUGCUCUGCUUUGGGAUCCGGGGCUGCGCUGAAGGAUGGGGGAGGUGAUGGGAGAGCAGCAGGAGGGCGAGCAGUGCCGUGUGGGUAUGGGCUGAUGGGGGGUAUGGGCUGAUGGGGGGGGUAGGGGCUGACG